rnacentral:rRNA from 1 species
UACAGAGGUCCCGAGCGUUGUUCGGAUUCAUUGGGCGUAAAGGGUGCGUAGGCGGUCUGCUAAGUUUGAUGUGAAAUCCCGGGGCUCAACCCUGGAAUGGCAUUGAAUACUGGCGGACUAGAGUACCGGAGAGGAAACUGGAAUUUACGGUGUAGCAGUGAAAUGCGUAGAGAUCGUGAAGGAAGACCAGUGGCGAAGGCGGGUUGCUGGGCUGACACUGACGUGAGGCGCGAAAGCUAGGGGAGCGAACGGG